rnacentral:lncRNA from 1 species
GUUCCGGAGAGGAGAGGGGGCGCCCUUUCCCUCCCGCGCCGGGAGGCCCGGCCGCUCUUGCCUGCGACCCAGCCUGGCCUCCCACCCCACUCCCGGUCACCGCCCCGGGUCCAUGCACUUCAGAGGGAGGCUGCGGGCACUGGAAAGCGAGGCCGGUGGGCGGGCAAAUCAGGAGGCUCGGGCGGCCGAGGUCCCGGAGCCGAAUCAGGUGUCCGGAGCCGGUACUGGUGUCUGCAGCAGACAGGUGCCAACUGAGAAUGGAAGAGGGGACACUAUGAACUGCUCAGCUCAGCUCAGGGGCAGGGAACCACUGUGCAGGCCCAAGCGAACAAGAGCAGGGCUAGAUGGCCCUCAAGCUGGCACAUUAUGGAAAGGAUGAUGCAGAGGUGACAGCUCAAUGCCAACAGGCUCCAGUCACAACCAAGUCAGGCUACAAGUCUGUUGACGCCUUUACCUGUUCCAGAUCCCACAACGUCUCGGCUUGGUGACUCGGCCAUGGCAUCUGCAAGCCGUUCCCGGAGGCCCUCCUCUGAGUGCUCCAUGGAGGACAUAUGCCGCAGCCCGAAGCCCUCAGGCCAGCUCCCACACACCUCCAGCAGGGUCACGCUCCGGUCAAAGGCUGGCUCCCAAAGAAACUCCAUUCACCCGCCACACAACGUAGAAGAUGGUGUUCCACGAGUUAACGGAAUUGGACAGCCCAUCAUCAAGUGACACACAGCCAUUAUCCCAGGGCAACGCAUCACGGACAGUUUUUAUAAUCAGGGGAAGAAUGGUUGAAGAGAGAAUGGGCCUGAGAAACGCAUACAGGCUGGGCCAGGAGGCUGCUAAGCACUGGAGGGAGCCUGGACCUGCCCAGCUGGCUCCCUGGUAGUUCCUGCACAGGGCUUGCCUCAGUGGGAGGCAGGUGAGCUCGCAGCUCCGUGGCUGACUCUUCUCCCAGUGGCCACGGCUGGCUGCACGCAAUGUUGACUCACCCCUGUGUACACACAUUAUUUCUCUUUAAAGUGUGUCAGGAAUGUGAACCAACUUGCACUGAAAGAUGGCGAAAACUGUUCUACCUUUGAACAAACUUCAUAUGCCAGGUCAGGAAGCGCCAGCACAACCCUGGAAGGAGUCCCAUCCCCCCACCUCAAUCCUCUGUAUGUUCAGGCACAGCUACCAAGGAACCAUCCUUCGAUGACCAGCCAGGGACAUGGGCCCUUUACACAUCACUAGGUCACUUACCAGAGCCCCUGUUGUCUGCCUGUGGGUCUGAGUAAGGCCCCAACACAGGCAGUUCCCAUGGCUCUAUAGUCACACAGUCUGGGGCUGCAGAGAACAGGAGAGCUCUGCAGACCAGGCAGUUGCUGGCCGGAAGCAAUGAUCUCCGUAGCUAGAUUGCAAAGGCACCAUUUCCUCCUGUAUGCUCUGGUCUGCUGCUGAGAUCUCGGGUCAGUGUCCACCAUGCGCCAUGUCACAUGUUCCUAUGUAGCAAGGCUGAACUCUCUGCUAUGCCGACUUAGGAACCUAGCAACUCCCUGGAUGGAAAAACUUCUCAGAACUAUGUAUUCCCAGGACAGCAAGUAUCCAUGCUGGUUUCCCUAGGACAGUUCGCAUAGCAAAGAAUAAGGUCUGGGAUCAGAGGGGUAUCAAAUGAAGAGAACAGACAUUCACUGAGCCUGUUGUGGGACAGAUACAGGCAGUUGCUUUAUGUAGACUGUCUCUCAAUCAGAGGUUGCCCACAGCUGAGACCGACUUCCAAUUUACAGACUGAAGAGCGGAGGCAGAGAGAGGCAGAAGGUAAUGGCGUGAGGGUACGGCCAGGAUUCUGGCUCCAGGUCCACCCAGAGCCAAAGCCUGUGCUUUUCCCCACUAAGACCUUUGAUUGGAUUCAGUUUGGGUGAGACCGGAGCAUACCCACUAAAAAUACAGCUGUGACAUACAGCUGCAGUGCCAGCAAGGGGCUUGAUUUCCUCUUUGGGCAACAAGCAUUUCCCACUGAGCCACACCCCUAGAGUUUUCAAACUACUCCAGAGUUUGAAAGUGGUUCUUGCAGCCGGGCACUGGGAGUAUGAUUUCUGUUCCCUACAGCAAAGCUGAUGUGAAGUGCUCAGCUGGGAACUCUGAGGUCAAACCUGGAGCUGAGAAGUCUUCUGCUUGCAAACUCAAGGAUGAUGUUUUAAAACCAUCAGUAUCAGCAGGGAAAGAUGCUUGCUGUCAAGCCUGAUAAACGGAGUUCAAUGCCCACAUGGUAGAAGGAAAGCAUCCACUUCUAUUAAUUGGCCUCUGACCUCUACAUAAGCAUUCCAUGGCACUCCCCCAACUCCCAAAUAAAAAUGUUAAAAAG